GACGAACGCUGGCGGCGUGCCUAAUACAUGCAAGUCGAACGCAGUGGGGACGGGUGAGUAAAACGGGGGUAACCUCCCAUCCGCGGGGAUAACACGUGGAAACAGGUGCUAAACCGAUACUGAUGGAUGGACCCGCGGUGCAUUAGCUAGUUGGUGAGGUAACGACUCACCAUGGCCACGAUUCAUAGCCGACCUGAGAGUGGGAGCGGCCACCAUGGGACUGAGACACGGCCCAGACUCCUACGUGAGGCAGCAGUAGGGAAUCUGCGGAAAUGGACGAAAGUCUUACCGAGCAACGCCGCGUGAGUGAAGAAGGUUUUCGGAUCGUAAAACUCUGUUGUUAGAGAAGCGGUAUCUAACCAGAAAGCCACGGCUAACUACGUGCCAGCAGCCGCGGUAAUAC
rnacentral:rRNA from 1 species